AUGUCUUCCGGUGGUGGCGGGGGAGGGGAUCAGGGCCGUCAUGGCCUCUACCACCAGCAUGGUCACGGCCAACUCACCCGCUACGACGGCGCUGGCGGCUACGAGCUCAGCAACGACGACAUGGAGAGCUUCUUCUUCAACCAGCCCGAGGGCGUCGGCGGUGGUGUGCGCGCCGACGAGAUCGCGCCGUACUCGAGCAUCACGAGCUACCUGCAGGGGUUCUUGGACCCCACCGGGCUAGCUCGGCAUCUCGACGUGCCGGCCAAGCACGAGCUGUCGGUCGACGUUAGGAGCCAUGACCAAGAGAGCCAGGGCACCGGCAGCGCUGCUGGAGAAAGCGCGGCGCUGCUAACACCCAACUCAUCGGUAUCUUUCUCGUCCGGAGGCGGGGACGGUGAGGGAAAAUCUCGCCGGAGCAACAAGGGCCGGGCGCAGGAGGCGGAUGACCAGGAGGAUGGGAAGGACCAUGAAGAUGGGGAAAGUUCCAAGACAGCGAAUAACAAACCCAAAAAGAAAGCCGAGAAGAGGCUGCGGCUGCCCCGCGUCUCCUUCCUCACCAAGAGCGAGGUCGAUCACCUGGAGGACGGCUACCGCUGGCGCAAAUACGGCCAGAAGGCCGUCAAGAACAGCCCUUAUCCAAGGAGCUACUACCGGUGCACGACGCCCAAGUGCGGCGUGAAGAAGCGGGUGGAGCGGUCGUACCAGGACCCGUCGACGGUGAUCACCACGUACGAAGGGCAGCACACCCACCACAGCCCCGCCAGCCUCCGGGGAAGCGCCGCGCACCUCUUCAUGCCCCCCGGAUUCCACGGGCUCCCGCCGCCACACCUCAUGCCGCCGGGGGUGUUCCACCCAGAGCUGAUGAGCAUGAUGCGCAUGCCCUACCCAAGCCCUAACAUGCACCUGCUGAGCGUGCCACCGCCUCCCCAUCAUCAUCCAACCUCUCAUCCAAUGGCGGGAACUCUCCAGCAGCACUAUUUCACUGACUACGCGCUAUUGCAAGACCUCUCCCCUUCCACAAUGCCCAACAACCCCUGA
rnacentral:rRNA from 1 species